CGAGCCGGUGUUUCUGCUCGUGGUUCCAUCCAGCCAGAGAACAGGGACAGGACUCUUCUGGGUGACGAGAGCUGUUUUUCCAGCAUGACACAUUCGGAAACCAAAAAUGAGCAACUCUUUCUAGCAACACUGUAAUCUUCCAAGAUGCAUUUAUGGAAAAUUUUCAGCUUACGGCCCAAAGUGGGGACUAUUAUGAGUCCCUCAAGAAUAUGGAAUUGGGAAAAAUGAGCAAGACCUCCCAGCAAACGGCAAAAACUGAAUUAAAGGAGAGAAGUAGACACUGACAAAUGUACUGAUUUGAGGAAAAACAACACUAGGCCAGUGGUGUCUUAAUUCUUGGUCAAUUACAUCUACCAAUAUAUUGAAAGAGAGAAUAUGUCCAUCAGACGAGUGGUUGAGAAGCCAGAAAAACAUACAGAGAGGAAAGGUGGAGAAAGAGAUCCUUGUGUUGUUCAAUGGAGACUUGUCUGAAGAUGAUGCUUUGUACCAGGGCACUCUAUUUCAAGAGCAGGCAUAUUAUUGCUGUUAUUAUUAUUGUUGUUCUCUAGUACAGAGAUGGCGAACCUUUUAGAACUUUCAGUGAUAACAAACAGCCCUCUAUGAUAUGCACACCAUAGGUUCACUACCCCUGCUCUAGAAUGUACUGUUUUCUAGGUCAUGUUUUAAUGUAGUAUACAUUAAUCCUUAUAAAAAUCUAAAGAUGUAGACACUAAUACUAACCCUAUUUAUAGAUAAGGAUAUUCAAGUUGAAGGAGAUUAAGGUGCUUGUCUAGAAUUUUAUAGCUAGUAAAUGUCAAUGUUGGUAUUUGAACUUAAUCUUGAGAAUUUGUACAUAGAACCACAAUUAUGAAAAUUCAUAUGGCCCAAAGAGAAUUCUCUCCUAAGCUUUGCAAAGAAGAAUUAGAGGCUCCAGAGUUUGUGACUAGCCCAGUAGUAUGUGUCAGAAUUAAGACAACUCAGGUCUCCUGAAUCUUAGUUUGUUAUAUUUCCAGAAUACUUGGAUGCUUUCUUCUCCUUGGAGAACUCAAUAAAGAUGAAAGCAGUAAAAUUAGAUUGUGAGAAGAGUUAGGACAACGGCAAACUGUACUCAUAGGAAGAGAGCAACUUCAUAGCUCCCUGGAAAGAAGGGAAAAAUUGG
rnacentral:lncRNA from 1 species